rnacentral:sRNA from 1 species
GCUGAGCGUAUCAGCCUGAGGCUCGUGAAA